GGUGGCUCAGUGGUAGAGCGCUUGCCUUGUAUGCAUGAGGCCUUGGGUUCGAUUCCCCAGCACCA
rnacentral:tRNA from 1 species